rnacentral:lncRNA from 1 species
GCCUGCUGUCCGUCAGCAGCCUCCCUUACAAUCUUUUUUUCUCUCUCUCCUUUUUUUUUCCUUGCCUUCUCCUUCUUCACUGAAGCCUAGGGGAGCCAGUAAAGAUUAAAUGUGCUUCUCAAAGGCAGCCACUUCAUGCUGCUAUGUCGAAAGGGCCAUUAUUAUUAUUAUAUUUUAAUGGUAAAAGAGAAAAGGAGAGAGGUUGAGCGAGCGAGAGAGAAGCUAGGUGUGAUGAUGACAGACUAGCUUUUCUGAGAGGAAAAGGAAAAGGGAAGGGAGAGAAAAAGGAGAGCCUCUGAGCUCAACGGAGGAUUGUGCCUGAGAAGAACCCACAGAGGAGGCUGUGCGGGCCCCGCUCCGCUUCGAAUGGCUGGUCCUAUAGUACCCCUCCUCAGGAAUGUCUCCCCAGUGCAAGGACAAAGACUGAAGAGACUGCUAUAUUGAUGGACUCUCAAGCCAACUAUGAAGUUGAAACAAAGAAAGUGAUCACCUGAAGACACCUCCUCUGCUAAGAAACACCCCCAAAUUGUGCAGCUUCUGCCACUAGAACUCUCAGAACAAGAGACAAUCUUUUCAAGAAACAGAAAAACUCAAUAAUGACAUCUAGAUUUUCAUGAGCCAAGAACUUUCCCUUCCUCAUGUGUAUUCCUCUGUUUGUACUUAAAUUCAUGUGACAUUCAUUUUUUUCCUAGUAUGGAUAUGCUUAUUAAUGCACUUGUUUCAAAAUCCCAAAUUGCACAAAUGUGUUAAUAUUUUAAGAAACAAAAUGAAUCCUACAAGGAGAAUGAUUUUUAGCCACACAUAGGGUUGGAUCUUGAGAGUGACCUACAGAAUAAAAGUACUUUUAAAAUAAAGUAGUCAGAGGCUAUUCAAAGGGUAAAAUAAUCAUAGUACCACAUUGGUCCACUUGACACUAACCAAUCGAUCAUUUUUUUUUAAUCAAGAAAGCUAGAUUCUAUCAGAUAAAAUCACUGCUUCUAAAGAGUUUAAAUCUAGUUAGAAAAAGUUAUAGAAAUGUUUGCAAAGAUAAGUAACAGAUAGAGUCAGUAGAGGAUAAGAUCAAAAACAAAACCAAGCAAAAGAUGAGUUCAGGGGAGUUUGCCAUCAAGUUGGCAAAACUGACUUACUUAGGGAAGAAAGUUAUAAAACAGGAAAAUAUGAGAUGAACCUUGAGUGAUGUGGAAGAUUUAGAUAAAUGGAAAGGAAGGAGAAAAUGGAGUUCUUUAGGUGGUUGUAAUUGGAGGAGGAAAUGAAUACACACAUCUUGUUGACUUAAACCCAGACAUUCAGCAGCUCUCUAUACAUAUCUGGAAAAGACUGCACAGUCACCUCCUGUCUCUCACCCCAGGUAUUACUUAGAAUUAUUAUCAUAUUUCCCUUCCUUUAAAGUAAGUAAGGGUGAUUGGUGACAAUAUGGAGAACUAUGAUUUUUCCAUUAACCUAAUAAUAAUUGGUAUUUAUUGAGUUCUGUUAAGCAUUUUACAUAUUAACUCACUUAAGCCUUUCAACAGCCUUGCAAAAUAGGUAUUAUUAUCCCCAUUUUACAGGCAAGAAAACUGAGGUUUAAGUAACUUGCCGAAGUGCCAUAUACAGGGCUCACAUUCAGUAUUGCAGUUGCAAAGCUCAUGAUCUAUAGUGCCAAGUUGCAAUAUUGUAGUCAAUGUCACAAUUAUUACCCCUUUUUAUAUUCCUUGAUAUUUUUCCAUGGCAAACAAUUAGCUAUUUCAUUUAAUAAUCACCUAAAACUUUUCAGUCUUCUGAUUAAAAUUACGCUGGAGUGAUAGAAUGUAUUUUCAUGAUAGAAAUUGGGAAAAAAAAUGGGGAAUGAAGUUUAUCAGCAUUUCAGACUUGUUUUUUUUUUUUUUUUUUGCAAGACUUUGAUGAGAUUGUUCACUUUUGUCUAUGUAAAAUCCCAAAUCCUUGAGAAUAAAAAAGGGGGAGGUUUAAGUCACUUGUUGCAAUGCCCUUUUUAAUAGAGGCAAUAAAUCUAAAGGCCAUAAAUUUAGAGUGACUUACAGAAGAUCGAACUUUGGAGUGUGGCAGAGUAAGGGAUGGAAACCGGGCCCUCCAGUUCACUAUCAGUAGCUUUUGCACUGGUCUGCCCUUCCUAAAUUAAGUAUGCACUUCAAUUUGAUGAGUGGAAACAGUCUAUCUGGGCAGUAACCAGGGAGCUUUGUGCCUAGUAGAUUGCUUCUGUUCUGCACUUCUUUGGUUUCCCACCUCAAUGUAAAAAAUAGCUAGCAAUGAAGUCCAGAAGUUGUCAAUGGUUCAUCCCCAGAAGAAUGCAUAAUGUCCAAAGUUGUAUGUGUAUGAUGUCUUCAAUGGUAUUAAGUUAUUUCAAAUUCUUAGUUCACCUACAUAAAUCAUUUCUAACAAGCAUCUUCUUAACCAACUUUAUGCACAGUGUAUGUUUGUAAGUGCUUCUGCACGAAUGUUUAUACAUGACUGUUUCCAUAGUACUUAUGUUUUUAAAAAUAUUCAGUCAUUUCCUACUAUAAUCCUCAUGUAUCCAUGUAACUGACUCAAAAAUACUUCAGCCACAGAAAGCUAAAACUGAGCAAAUCUCAUUCUUCUUUUCCAUCCCCUUUGCAUGUGGCUGGCAUUUAGUAAUGAUUAAUAAUAUGGCCAGCUGAAUAACAGAGGUUUGAGACACAAUUCUUUCUCAAAGGAGUCAGCUAAGCUGGGUCUACUUAUGGACAAACAUCUAAAUGUGUGGAAGUAUCUGAUAUUUGACAAUGGUAAAUUUCCACUUAGCUAGCUAGCAUUGUCAGACUUCAAUCUCCUCAUGGCUCUGGCCGUCCUGUUUUAAGCAUGAUAAUUGUUGGCCACAUCUCACAUAGUUCUCAUUGAGUGAGUUCAUAAAUAAACAGGGUUUUUUUUUUUUUUUAAAGAGCAGCCAAGCACAAAGUGUGACUUUGUUGACAUUUUAUGUGACUUUGUCAUAUGUUCCUAACCCCCAAUAAAAGCAAUGUU